CAGAGGGUGCGAGCGUUGUCCGGAAUCACUGGGCGUAAAGGGCGCGUAGGUGGCGGACCAAGUCCAUGGUGAAAGCUCGCUGCUCAACAGCGAGUCGGCCACGGAUACUGGUGCGCUCGAGCACUGUAGAGGCAGAUGGAAUUCCGGGUGUAGCGGUGGAAUGCGUAGAGAUCCGGAAGAACACCGGUGGCGAAGGCGGUCUGCUGGGCAGUUGCUGACACUGAGGCGCGACAGCGUGGGGAGCAAACAGGAUUAGAUACCCUGGUAGUCCACGCCGUAAACGAUGGGCACUAGAUGCUUGGGGGAGCGACCCCUGAGUGUCGUCGCUAACGCAGUAAGUGCCCGCCUGGGGAGUACGGCCGCAAGGCUG
rnacentral:rRNA from 1 species